GAUGAACGCUGGCGGCGUGCCUAAUACAUGCAAGUCGAGCGAACAGACGAGGAGCUUGCUCCUUUGACGUUAGCGGCGGACGGGUGAGUAACACGUGGAUAACCUACCUAUAAGACUGGGAUAACUUCGGGAAACCGGAGCUAAUACCGGAUAAUAUAUUGAACCGCAUGGUUCAAUAGUGAAAGACGGUUUUGCUGUCACUUAUAGAUGGAUCCGCGCCGCAUUAGCUAGUUGGUAAGGUAACGGCUUACCAAGGCAACGAUGCGUAGCCGACCUGAGAGGGUGAUCGGCCACACUGGAACUGAGACACGGUCCAGACUCCUACGGGAGGCAGCAGUAGGGAAUCUUCCGCAAAGGGCGAAAGCCUGACGGAGCAACGCCGCGUGAGUGAUGAAGGUCUUCGGAUCGUAAAACUCUGUUAUUAGGGAAGAACAAAUGUGUAAGUAACUAUGCACGUCUUGACGGUACCUAAUCAGAAAGCCACGGCUAACUACGUG
rnacentral:rRNA from 1 species